rnacentral:lncRNA from 1 species
UGUGUUGGGAGAUGACAGAACUUAUAUCAUCAGGUUAUUUUAAUUUUGUACAUUUUGAACAAUAUCCAAAAAUACUAAUCCGUUGCUAAAAUUCAUGAGAAGGAGUGAAAAGAGAAAUAUUCUACCUAUUGCAAUCUUCCAAGUGAAAGCAUUCACAUCCUGCUGUAAAUGUAUCAGAAUUAUAUCACAUUCUUUGGUGAAUACGCCCCCUCUUUUGUUUGGGUUUUGCUUUUAAAUCCUUUUACAGAAGUUUAAUGUUUGGCAAGAGCAUGUUUCCAGGUUUUUUCUACUUUACCCCCUGACUUUACAUGAACAAUACCAAAGAUUUUAAAAGGAAUGGAAAAACUCAAGCGUAUACUCCAUUUGCCACAACAAAGUUUGGCUUUUUAAAAAAUGUUCUUUUAUGUGUUUGGUGUUAAGUUGAUAAGUUACAGAAAGAAUUUUUGCCUGUUGAGAGACAGGGAAAAUAGAUUAAAGUUAAUUAUUUAUGAAUUUAUUUUCAUUAUAUCGUGUGCAGACUUUUAAAAAACUGAAUAGUGGUGGAACCACAGUAUUUUAUAUGUGGAAGUGUGCCUGUGUGUUCUAGUUCCUAUAUUUUCAUUUCAUAUAACCGCACCUCAUUCUUAUAAUUUGUAUGGAAGAUAUUCUCAUUAAACUAUCUUUUGGAUG